AAUAAAUAAAUUUCCUUAAAUGAAACAAGAUAAUUUCAGAAAAACUCGUUUUUCAACAGAAAGUUUUUGCUCUAAGAUGAGAUGUUUUUCACCUGUACCAAAAUUUACAAAACUACCAUAGAAACAUUUUUCACAUCACACAAGUCACAUGAUCAACAACAGGAUGUUACUGCUGGCAGAAGCGACAAAGACAACGACAGGAAGUGGGAUGAGGAUUUUAAUGAUUCAUUGUGUGAACAAACUUUUGACUGCAGUCGUCUUGAAAUUCUCUGCAGGCAAAUAUUUUAUCUGCUGGGCAAGAAAACUAACUUCAGAAUCAGUAUCAGUUAUUUACAAAUUAAAAAAGAAAGCUGCAGUGUUUCCAUAGCAACCCAGCAUAUCCAAACUUUUAGAUUUGACCCAGAGUUUUUUCCAGGUGUUGUCUGGAGGCGUUGCCAGCAACCAGUACAUCUGUAAAGCUCUGGCCGUCGUCGCCAAGGUGACCGGGUUGCGGCUGCGCUGCCCUCCGGCCCGGUUCUGCACCCACAACGGAGCGAUGGUCGCCUGGAACAGAGUGGAGCAUCUGAGGGAAGGAACCGGGAUCCUGGCGCCGGAGGUGGAGGUCAGCUACGAGCCCAGAGCUCCGCUGGGCGUGGACAUCACAGCCGAGAUGAGGGACGCCGCCAUCAGGCCGCCGCCCAUCCGGAUCAAGCUCCCAGCCUGACCGGCAGAACUCCCUCUAUCCAAACUGUGCAGAUAUGAGAUGUUUAUUUAUUAAUAAAGUAUUUUAAUAUGAA